CCUACGGGGUGCAGCAGUGAGGAAUAUUGGUCAAUGGACGAGAGUCUGAACCAGCCAAGUAGCGUGAAGGAUGACUGCCCUAUGGGUUGUAAACUUCUUUUAUAAAGGAAUAAAACGAGGCACGUGUGCCUUUUUGCAUGUACUUUAUGAAUAAGGAUCGGCUAACUCCGUGCCAGCAGCCGCGGUAAUACGGAGGAUCCGAGCGUUAUCCGGAUUUAUUGGGUUUAAAGGGAGCGUAGAUGGGUUGUUAAGUCAGUUGUGAAAGUUUGCGGCUCAACCGUAAAAUUGCAAUUGAUACUGGCAGUCGUGAGUACAGUUGAGGUAGGCGGAAUGCGUGGUGUAGCGGUGAAAUGCUUAGAUAUCACGAAGAACCCCGAUUGCGAAGGCAGCUUACUAAACUGUGACUGACAUUGAUGCUCGAAAGUGUGGGUAUCAAACAGGAUUAGAUACCCUUGUAGUC
rnacentral:rRNA from 1 species